GUUAAAUCUGGAUCUUGUCCCUGUAUUGUCGCUUCACUCCUUGAUGACCUUGCGUAGAUCGUAGCUGCAUUUCUUGAGUACCUGGUGGUUACCAGAAGCGAAAACUCCAUCUCACGUGCUUUGAUCUUUGAAAUUGACCUCUGGACUUCCAAAUGACCUUCAGAUGUUUGAUGUCGAUAUUUGGAAUCAGCCCCUGUACUGGCCAAUGAUGGGACCCCAGACUCCAGGCUCGAACGCUGGGUCAGAAUAUCCUUCCCUUCUUCCCUCCCACCUUCCGUCCCUCCAUUAAGGAUUUCAGUACAACCAACCCUCAAAUGGACUUUAUGCCUGAACCUCAGUCAUAUCAGCACAUGGAGGGGAGAGG